GCUAAAACACCGGUUCCAGUACCGAAGUUAAGCAACGUCGAGCCUGGUCAGUACCUAGAUGGGUGACCGCUUGGGAAUAUCAGGUGAAGUAA